rnacentral:snoRNA from 1 species
ACCAAUUCUGAAGGAUAAAUUGUUCCUUUUGAUGUAAUGGCUCGGACGCCAGAUUGAUUGUGGUGAUCCUGAUUGAUGGUUUUUAUUCAAUGCCAUUUGGUCUUGGAAACGCCUCAUACAUUC